ACAUAUGAUAAGUAAUAUAUAACACGUCUUUGGUAAAAGUGUCAAUCAUAAAAAGUUUAACACAAAAGUAGAACUACAUGUAAUAGGACAUAAUUAUCACCAACAAUAUCCGCACUGUGGGUGGUUACCUGACUAUUCACUUCGCGCUACAUAUUCGAAGUUAAUAAUCAAUAUGCAGUUUUUGAUAGCUUUAUAUAAACUUAAAAAUAGGAAAACUGUUUUAUGUUUAAGUAGAAUUAAUAAAAAAUAUUGCACCAGAAUCUAAAUUGAAUAAGGUAAAAUUCUCAAAUCAUUAAUAAUUCAUGAGCAAUUCAGCCAAUGAUAAUCACCUAUUUGAUCACAAGAUGCCAUUUGGGUAACCCGG